UAUUUGGCAGUGUAUAUAGCCAUGAUCAAUGUAAUAACAAUGUGGGCAUAUGUAAAUAAUUACCUUGAAAACUUGCACAGUCUGUUGUGGGACAAAUGGUGGGGGAGAGAAUGAACGGCGAACUGAACUGAACGGCACGGAACUCGGCAAACGUAACAUAGAGCGGCUCGGAAGCUCAAACAAACGCUACCUUUUAAACGUCACGGUUAACUUCGGCACGCCACGCUACCAAUAGUAAUCCCAACCGUAGCAAUGAUAGAAAUAAGGAACGUAACAACUUAUAGAGAGAAAAAAUAGUUUCACAGUGGUGACAGCGGUGGGAUUACAAAAACUGACUUUUAUUUUAAGCACGCCAAAGGCGAGCUAAAUUAAUCUGUUGUCGGUUCCGCUCCAAACAGGGCGGCGAACCCAAUGUUUUUUUUUUUAUUGCAAUAUAUUUCUUAAAUUGUGAUAUUGUUUUGCCUUUAAUAUUAAAUGUAAGUCAUGUAUGUAGGUAUCGGGCCGUUCAUGUUCGCAGUGGUUCAUCUCCCCCGACCUGUCCCGGCCAGUGGGCCAGGCGGGCGGCUCGGCCCUCGCGGUCAGUCACCGCGGGGUGCCAGCGCCGGCUCGCGGCGGUCCCGCGGCAAUUAGGCCCUGCCCUCCGCUCUGUCUGAUUGGUGUAGGGACGGAGGAUGGGCGUGGCCAAAUUGAGUGUGGGGCUGAGGGGUGCCUCUGAGGACAGUGUAUGUCCAGGUGUUCUUCCGCGUCAUUGCUGAGGGUUCUCGGGUCCAUUCGUGCAUUGUGCUGAAAGCAACGAGUUUUGAGAUGUCUACCCGGAGUUCGGAAUCAUUCUCUCAUCUAUAAUCAUCGGAGGGAUGUGAGAAACUUUGUUCCUCCGACACGGCCAGACCGUGGCUGCACCGCCGGACCCGGCGCGGCGGACCGCGCGGCGACCGCACCGCACCCCACCGGCUGAUGGGCCCGGCGCGCCCUCUAAUCUGCCGACGGCCGGGGGCGGAAUGCGGCGGCGGCCGCGCACAAACAACCGCGGGGGAGGAUGCGGCGUGGUGGGAACCGAGAGCCGGCGCAGGAGCGUGACCAGCAGCAGGUCGACAGACCCGAGCUCCUCCGACGGCGCAGCGGACCACACCGGACCUCCUGACGCCGC